rnacentral:rRNA from 1 species
UACGAAGGGGGCUAGCGUUGCUCGGAAUCACUGGGCGUAAAGCGCACGUAGGCGGCUUUUUAAGUCAGGGGUGAAAUCCUGGAGCUCAACUCCAGAACUGCCUUUGAUACUGAGAGCUUGAGUCCGGGAGAGGUGAGUGGAACUGCGAGUGUAGAGGUGAAAUUCGUAGAUAUUCGCAAGAACACCAGUGGCGAAGGCGGCUCACUGGCCCGGUACUGACGCUGAGGUGCGAAAGCGUGGGAGCAACAGGAGUAG